rnacentral:rRNA from 1 species
CCUACGGGUGGCUGCAGUGAGGAAUAUUGGUCAAUGGGCGGAAGCCUGAACCAGCCAAGUAGCGUGCGGGAUGAAGGCCCUACGGGUCGUAAACCGCUUUUGCACGGGGAUAACACCCUCCACUUGAGGAAGUCUGCAGGUACCGUUCGAAUAAGGGCCGGCAAAUUCCGUGCCAGCAGCCGCGGUAAUACGGAAGGCCCGGGCGUUAUCCGGUUUCAUUGGGCUUAAAGGGACCGUAGUCGGGCGUUCAAGACAGCUGGAAAAUCGGGCGGCUAAACCGCGCCCCGCAGUUGAAACUGGACGCCUUGAGUUCACAACAGGCAGGCGGAAUUCGUGGUGUAGCGGUGAAAUGCAUAGAUAUCACGAGGAACCCCGAUUGCGAAGGCAGCCUGCCGGGGUGCGACUGACGCUGAGGCUCGAAGGUGCGGGUAUCAAACAGGAUUAGAUACCCCUGUAGUC